UGUUAAAACGAGUAACAAGAANAUUAUCCUUCUCUUAAAUGCGAGCAUAUGUCAGGAAGGAUAGACCACUGACAAUUAACACAACUGAACAUAAAUUAGUAACCCAANCAAGAAAACCCUAAUUAAUUANAAUGUUAAUCUAACACAAGAGCAUUUCAAGAAAGAUUAAAAGAGAAAGAAGGAACUCGGCAAAUAUUAACCCCGCCUGUUUACCAAAAACAUNCGCCUCUUGANCUANAUUAUAAGAGGUUUAGCCUGCCCAGUGACACAUNGUUUAACGGCCGCGGUAUCCUAACCGUGCAAAGGUAGCGUAAUCACUUGUUCUUUAAAUGAGGACUAGUAUGAACGGCGCCACGAAGGUUAUACUGUCUCCUUUCUCUAAUCAGUANNAAACUAAUCUCCCCGUGAAGAAGCGAGGAUAAAUUUAUAAGACGAGAAGACCCUAUGGAGCUUUAAACUAACCAGCAUUUGCUUUACNNNANNCNAAAUUUUUUUAAUAACUNNNNUUAAAGACAAUCNUAGCCCUCUGACUNGGUAAUUUUCGAUUGGGGUGAUCACGGAACAAAAAAUAACCUCCGUGUCGAAAGGANNNUCNUANCCUGAGCAAAANAGCGACAGCUUUCCGCACUAAAAAANUUAACGUUNCAUUGACCCAAUANUUUUGAUCAACGAACCAAGUUACCNCUAGGGAUAACAGCGCAAUCUACUUCAAGAGNUCCCUAUCAACAAGUAGGUUUACGACCUCGAUGUUGGAUCAGGGUAUCCCAGUGGUGCAGCCGCUACUAAAGNGUUCGUUUGUUCAACGAUUAAAACCCUACGUG
rnacentral:rRNA from 1 species